UUAAGCGACUAAGCGUACACGGUGGAUGCCCUGGCAGUCAGAGGCGAUGAAGGACGUGCUAAUCUGCGAAAAGCGUCGGUAAGGUGAUAUGAACCGUUAUAACCGGCGAUGUCCGAAUGGGGAAACCCAGUGCAAUUCGUUGCACUAUCGUUAACUGAAUACAUAGGUUAACGAGGCGAACCGGGGGAACUGAAACAUCUAAGUACCCCGAGGAAAAGAAAUCAACCGAGAUUCCCCCAGUAGCGGCGAGCGAACGGGGAGCAGCCCAGAGUCUGAAUCAGCUUGUGUGUUAGUGGAACGGUCUGGAAAGUCCGACGGUACAGGGUGAUAGUCCCGUACACCAAAAUGCACAGGUUGUGAACUCGAAGAGUAGGGCGGGACACGUGGUAUCCUGUCUGAAUAUGGGGGGACCAUCCUCCAAGGCUAAAUACUCCUGACUGACCGAUAGUGAACCAGUACCGUGAGGGAAAGGCGAAAAGAACCCCGGCGAGGGGAGUGAAAAAGAACCUGAAACCGUGUACGUACAAGCAGUGGGAGCACCUUCGGGUGUGACUGCGUACCUUUUGUAUAAUGGGUCAGCGACUUAUAUUCUGUAGCAAGGUUAACCGUAUAGGGGAGCCGCAGGGAAACCGAGUCUUAACUGGGCGUUAAGUUGCAGGGUAUAGACCCGAAACCCGGUGAUCUAGCCAUGGGCAGGUUGAAGGUUGGGUAACACUAACUGGAGGACCGAACCGACUAAUGUUGAAAAAUUAGCGGAUGACUUGUGGCUGGGGGUGAAAGGCCAAUCAAACCGGGAGAUAGCUGGUUCUCCCCGAAAGCUAUUUAGGUAGCGCCUCGUGAAUUCAUCUUCGGGGGUAGAGCACUGUUUCGGCUAGGGGGUCAUCCCGACUUACCAACCCGAUGCAAACUACGAAUACCGAAGAAUGUUAUCACGGGAGACACACGGCGGGUGCUAACGUCCGUCGUGAAGAGGGAAACAACCCAGACCGCCAGCUAAGGUCCCAAAGUCAUGGUUAAGUGGGAAACGAUGUGGGAAGGCACAGACAGCCAGGAUGUUGGCUUAGAAGCAGCCAUCAUUUAAAGAAAGCGUAAUAGCUCACUGGUCGAGUCGGCCUGCGCGGAAGAUGUAACGGGGCUAAACCAUGCACCGAAGCUGCGGCAGCGACACUAUGUGUUGUUGGGUAGGGGAGCGUUCUGUAAGCCUGCGAAGGUGACCUGUGAGGGUUGCUGGAGGUAUCAGAAGUGCGAAUGCUGACAUAAGUAACGAUAAAGCGGGUGAAAAGCCCGCUCGCCGGAAGACCAAGGGUUCCUGUCCAACGUUAAUCGGGGCAGGGUGAGUCGACCCCUAAGGCGAGGCCGAAAGGCGUAGUCGAUGGGAAACAGGUUAAUAUUCCUGUACUUGGUGUUACUGCGAAGGGGGGACGGAGAAGGCUAUGUUAGCCGGGCGACGGUUGUCCCGGUUUAAGCAUGUAGGCUGGUUGUCCAGGCAAAUCCGGAUAAUCAAGGCUGAGGUGUGAUGACGAGGCACUACGGUGCUGAAGUAACAAAUGCCCUGCUUCCAGGAAAAGCCUCUAAGCAUCAGGUAACAUCAAAUCGUACCCCAAACCGACACAGGUGGUCAGGUAGAGAAUACCAAGGCGCUUGAGAGAACUCGGGUGAAGGAACUAGGCAAAAUGGUGCCGUAACUUCGGGAGAAGGCACGCUGGUGUGUAGGUGAAGUCCCUGCGGAUGGAGCUGAGACCAGUCGAAGAUACCAGCUGGCUGCAACUGUUUAUUAAAAACACAGCACUGUGCAAACACGAAAGUGGACGUAUACGGUGUGACGCCUGCCCGGUGCCGGAAGGUUAAUUGAUGGGGUUAUCCGUAAGGAGAAGCUCUUGAUCGAAGCCCCGGUAAACGGCGGCCGUAACUAUAACGGUCCUAAGGUAGCGAAAUUCCUUGUCGGGUAAGUUCCGACCUGCACGAAUGGCGUAAUGAUGGCCAGGCUGUCUCCACCCGAGACUCAGUGAAAUUGAACUCGCUGUGAAGAUGCAGUGUACCCGCGGCAAGACGGAAAGACCCCGUGAACCUUUACUAUAGCUUGACACUGAACAUUGAGCCUUGAUGUGUAGGAUAGGUGGGAGGCUUUGAAGCGUGGACGCCAGUCUGCGUGGAGCCAACCUUGAAAUACCACCCUUUAAUGUUUGAUGUUCUAACGUUGGCCCCUUACCGGGGUUGCGGACAGUGUCUGGUGGGUAGUUUGACUGGGGCGGUCUCCUCCCAAAGCGUAACGGAGGAGCACGAAGGUUAGCUAAUCCUGGUCGGACAUCAGGAGGUUAGUGCAAUGGCAUAAGCUAGCUUGACUGCGAGCGUGACGGCGCGAGCAGGUGCGAAAGCAGGUCAUAGUGAUCCGGUGGUUCUGAAUGGAAGGGCCAUCGCUCAACGGAUAAAAGGUACUCCGGGGAUAACAGGCUGAUACCGCCCAAGAGUUCAUAUCGACGGCGGUGUUUGGCACCUCGAUGUCGGCUCAUCACAUCCUGGGGCUGAAGUAGGUCCCAAGGGUAUGGCUGUUCGCCAUUUAAAGUGGUACGCGAGCUGGGUUUAGAACGUCGUGAGACAGUUCGGUCCCUAUCUGCCGUGGGCGCUGGAGAAUUGAGGGGGGCUGCUCCUAGUACGAGAGGACCGGAGUGGACGCAUCACUGGUGUUCGGGUUGUCAUGCCAAUGGCACUGCCCGGUAGCUAAAUGCGGAAGAGAUAAGUGCUGAAAGCAUCUAAGCACGAAACUUGCCCCGAGAUGAGUUCUCCCUGAGACUUUAAGUCUCCUGAAGGAACGUUGAAGACGACGACGUUGAUAGGCCGGGUGUGUAAGCGCAGCGAUGCGUUGAGCUAACCGGUACUAAUGAACCGUGAGGCUUAACCUU
rnacentral:rRNA from 1 species